CAUCUCGGCCCUCUGUUCGAGGGGUUUCCCACUUUCCCUACAAACUGGAACCUCUAGGAACUACUUAGAAGGAGAUGAAACCUUGUUCCAGGUAUUGAAGAGGUGCAGAGAAGACAAGGGAACCCACGGACUCCGUAUAAUUCAUUCAGAUUCGGACAAACUGCCAGGCCAGUGGAUCCACACCUCUUUUUAUUUAUAAUUAACCUUCUGCCUUGACUACUCAUCUUUGGAAUGCUGAUUGUCAUGGAAGCAAUAAUUAUUAUAUUAGUCUUGCUGUGUUCCUGAAGCUGUUCAUGAGCUCUUGCUUGCCUAGGAUUCCAUGUUUUAUAGAGGAAGAGACUGUGGAGUCUGGAAUAGUCUAUGCUCAUGAAGCUGCAAGCGAACUUCCUGGAGUGGCCCUGAAUUAACCUGGGUGUCAGAGACCAUGGACCAGCCCUCUUGGGACUAUGACACUCAUAGCUGUGUGUGACCUCCAACCCUCCAUAAUCAAACCCAACCUUUGAACAAGCAUUGCUUUUUAAUAUUACUUUAACUUGCUAGUCAUUAUUGUGUCUUUUUCUGAAGGCUUUUAAAAGGGUUAUUAAGGAAGGUGGAAGAAAAUGCAAUAAAGGUCAAAGUCUUAAAGUCAUGUUAAGUAAUUGCAAAAAUGAAUAAUAAAAAAAAACCA
rnacentral:lncRNA from 1 species